GUGGCUUUUGGCAAAAAGAUUUAUCGUAACACAUAGUCUUAUGUUGCCCAGGUUGGCUUUGAACUUACUUUGAUCUUGCCUCUACUUCCUGAGUACUGAGAUUAUGAGUGUGUGUCACCAUCAUACUUGGUAUUAUGUAGUGCUAGGGACUGGGCUGGGUCCAAGGCUUUGUUUAUGCUAAGCAAGCACUGUACCAACCAGGCUAUACCCCAAGCCCUGCAACAAAAUUUUCAAAACCCUAAAUUAUCAUGAAUAUAUCUUCAGCCAUUUUUCUUACCUCUACCCCAUUCCAUACAAAGAUGUCUUCCCCAUCAGCAAUUUCAGCUUCACACAGUGUCAGCUCAUCUCCUAGAAUGAUGAGAUUGUCAAUUCAUUCCCCAUGACUACCAAAUGCAGCUAAGCUAAAGAGAGAACUGUAACUCUUCAAUGUGUUUUUGAAAAGGCAGGUAUUAAGAAAAAUCAUAAGAAGCAGUAAUUAUUUUAUUAUUUAUAGUAUUUCAUAUUGCAAUUAUCUGGACCAUUAUAUGGUUUUGUGAGCAAAGCAGCAGGACAGGAGGGUACACAGAGGUUAAUAGUCAGGCCCAUGCCACCCAGGAGUAGGCAUGGACUCCAAACAGACCAGAUCACCACCAAACUGUUGCAGAGGUUGGUUGUCACAAUAUUUGGCAGAGUCCGAAAUGUACAUUACUGCACUACUGUUCUCAUCAUUGUUUUGUUGUUAUUUCAGAGAAAUAAGUGCCUUUAAACUCUCAAGACUUGAUUCGUCUGCUACAAAAUCUGAAGCUAAGUAGGCAAAGUGAAGCCACAUAAAUAAAAUUUUAAUGGUUUUAAACCAUUUUGCUUAAUCAUUUGUGGAAAAGAGACAGAGACAGACACACAGAGAGAGAAAGAGAGAUGCAAUUUUAAAAAGAAGGUAGGAGGCAGAGGAAGGACUGACAAAGAAAAUCACAGAUAAGUUUCCCUAAGAUACACACAUAAAAUGCGUUAAUGAGUUGCUGUGUUCCUUACUCAUCUUACCAUCGAGGGUAUGGUAGACAUGAAGUCCUGCUGGCACACGCUUUGCAACACUCAGAACCAUGUCUCCUUCCCAAAAUUCCAAUAGCUAAAGAAUAGUAAGAGUGGGAAAACAGUGAGUUCCAACAUGUGAGCAGCACAAGUCCUGACUCAGAAGGAACAGCAAAUGAACAUUCCCGUUGUUGACCAACACCAGCAUUUUAGAAAUAAACAUCAUUUGAUAAAUUACUCAAACCCAAGGAUGUUGACUGCAUCCAUUACAGACUGAAGACAGCAGAGAAAAGAGAGCAGAAUACUUAAGAGACAAGUCAGUCCUUUUCAAUUUGAAAAGCCCUCCACAUUAACUCUGCCAGAAAUGACUCAGAAAUGAACUUUACUGCAGAACUUUAGAUAUAUCAAGGAUUCUAAGGAGCCUGCUACUGAAGCAGCAUGUAACACUACAUGUAAACCAACUCAAGUAAAAAAGAUACUAGUUUGCUUUUCAUAGAAAAGAAAAAGAAAGGGCUGGCAAUUUUUGUGGUAGAUACAAAGUUUUAAAGAAUUCAUUUAAACCAUUUCUGGGCACCCUUGCACAAAUUUUCAUUUUCUUCUUUUUCCUUCUCCUUUCUGAGAUAGUCUCAAAGUUGAUGUGUAGUGAGGCUGACCUUGAACUGAUCUUCCUGCCUGCACCUUGAAAAUGCUGGGACUAUAGACACCUGCUACUAAGCCUGGCAAGCGUUUACAUUUCUAAAUCCUUUCAUUAGGAAGGAGUAUGGGGUGAGGAAGUGAGGCUAAGGGUCAGGAAACCAGGUAGAAGAAGGGGAGAUCCAGGCUGAGGACCUAGCACUACCAUAGCAACUAGGUACCUGUGCAUGUCAACAUUGGAUACUCUAAGAUAUGAUUUUUUUAUCUUCAGAAUGGAGCUGGCUUGCCCUGGUGAGGCUGAAAAGCCAAAUGAAAUGAUGUUUAUGAAAGCAUUGCGAGUAAAAGUGAGGAGCAUCUCCACUGUCAUAUGACUGAAACACAGGCAAAUAAACGAUCUGGAGAUGAACACUAGAUGAAAAUCCCUGUCUGUUACAAAUCCAUGAUAAAAUUUCUGAACACAGCCUACUACAUUAUCUGCCCCUUCAACACCUAAGAGGAUCAUAGAAACACCCUCCCUCCCACGGAAGAACAGUCUCCAGAGCCCAAGGGUUGCACUAAAUAACCCUGGCUGGCCAGAAAUUUGCUAUGAAAUCAGGCUAGCCUUGAACUCACACAAAGAUCUUCCUGCCUCUGCCUUUCAAGUCCUGGGAUUAAAGGAAUAAACCACCACAUUCAAUAGCUCUUUACUUUUGAGAGAAUUCUGGCAAGGGAUCAAACCAUCUUAUUGAUUUACUCAUGGUAAUAGUAAACUUUACCAUGGUUAACUUCAAGGUAGGAACUCUCUCAGAAGGCUGAACAGAGAGCUUCAAAUACAUUUCAACUGCUCAAGAACAUUAAUACUUCGAGAAAAAAAAAGAGAAAUACAAAAAGGAAAAUAAGAAAACAAGACCACUUACAACUCAAAGGCAACACAUGGCUGAAUGACAGAGCCGAGAAUAAAAACUGAAGAACUGCACUUAAGUUUGCCACCACAGUAACAACAUACAACAUCCAAGAAAAUUCAAUUUUGGAAAAUGUAACUAUGACUGAGGGAAGAAAAAUGUCAGACAUUUUCUCAUAAAAUGACAAACUGGAAAAUAAAGUAUGAUUUCCUGCUUAAAGAAAUACCCACGUAAGGAAAACUUAAACGACAAGCUGAUAGAUUUCAUUUGGCACAACAGACUUGCUAGUAUUAGUUUUAAAAUAUGUAAAGAUAUCCAGGCAAAACCACCUCUUCAAAAGACACAACUUCAGGCAGCACUGGAAGCUUACCUGCUGGAGUUACUAACAAGACAAAUUAGAACACUUCUCUCUCGUACCUUCAGAGGGCCUCUGCAGCUUGGCUUUCCGAUAAAACAGCAUGUAGGCACUUUCUUUACCCUGGAACUGCUGUGUGAUAGCUUUCUCUUUGAUUGGCUGGACUUUGGAAUCAUUGAUAUCAAACCAGUGGGGGCAGCUGGUGCUAUCACUUAACCCUGGGGGUUCUGAAGCAAGUGUAUGUAGAAUCUGUUCCCGGUGCCUUUGGAAAUCAGAUGAGGCCUGGGUAAAACGGUUCCUCAGGAGACUAACUGUACUUUCAUCUGUGCUGAGCAGAAACAUCUGAGGAUGGAGCUGUAAGAACUAUUCAGAACAAACAAACAAACAAACAAACAGAUUAGGCCUAUUAAAAAUUUUUUUAAUAAAAAUGGUUUUUAACUAGA